GAGGACCGGGAUGGACCAACCUCUGGUGCACCAGUUGUCACGCCAGUGGCACAGCUGGGUAGCUAUGUUGGGACUGGAUAAACGCUGAAAGCAUCUAAGCGUGAAGCCAACCUCAAGAUGAGAUUUCCCAUAGCGUAAGCUAGUAAGACUCCUGGAAGAACACCAGGUUGAUAGGUCAGAGAUGUAAGCAUGGCAACAUGUUAAGUUGACUGAUACUAAUAAGUCGAGGGCUUGACCAAAAUAAAUUCACUGUGUAAUUUUGAGAGAAACAAUAAAAAAAUUGUUAAAUCUCUAUUGACAAAUUGAAAAAAAACAAUUACAAUGUUAAAUAUCUGGUGAUUAUGGCUUGAAGGUAACACCCGUUCCCAUGCCGAACACGAAGGUUAAGCUUCAAAGCGCUGAUGGUACUGCAGGGGAAGCCCUGUGGAAGAGUAAGUCAUUGCCAGGUGAAAACAUGGAUCUUUAGCUCAGUUGGUUAGAGCAACCGGCUCAUAACCGGUAGGUCCGGGGUUCGAGUCCCUGAAGGUCCACCAUUUGGGGGUAUAGCUCAGUUGGGAGAGCACCUGCCUUGCAAGCAGGGGGUCAGGAGUUCGAAUCUCCUUAUCUCCACCAUGAUAUAAGAUACUUAUGAAUUUUCAUAAGUAUCUUAUUUUUUUAUAUCCAUUUAAAAAAUAAGAAAUUUAUUGUAAACUGAUAAUAUAAGAUUAUUUUAAUAAGGAGGUUAAUAAAAUAGUAUAUAGAAUUAAACAAUUUCACUGGAACGCUACUGCUAAAAUGGAGUAUAAAGACAUAGUAUAUAUAAAUAUGCAUUUAGAUAAUGAGGAGUUAAAGAUUUUUAAUAAAUUAUCUAUAAGCGAACAAAAGCAUUCUAUAAAGGUAGCUUAUGAUAUAGAAAAAUUAUAUGAAGAAGGUAAAUAUAAUCUAACAAAAGAUGAGUUUAUAAAGGUAGCUUUGUUACAUGAUAUAGGA
rnacentral:rRNA from 1 species